AGAACGAACGCUGGCGGCAUGCCUAACACAUGCAAGUCGAACGCUUCCGGGGCUUCGGUCGCGGAGGAGUGGCGCACGGGUGAGUAGCGCGUGGGAACCUGCCCUGUUGUGGGGGAUAACCGAGGGAAACUUCGGCUAAUACCGCAUACGCCCCGGGACUUGGUCUUCGGAUUAGGUCUGGGGGGAAAGAUUGAUCGCAGCAGGAGGGGCCCGCGUCGGAUUAGCUGGUUGGUGGGGUAACGGCUCACCAAGGCGAUGAUCCGUAGCUGGUCUGAGAGGAUGAUCAGCCACACUGGGACUGAGACACGGCCCAGACUCCUACGGGAGGCAGCAGUGGGGGAAUAUUGGACAAUGGGGGCAACCCUGAUCCAGCAAUGCCGCGUGAGUGAUGAAGGCCUUAGGGUUGUAAAGCUCUUUCGCCGCGACGAUGAUGACGGUAGCGGGAGAAGAAGCCCGGCUAACUUCGUGCCAGCAGCCGC
rnacentral:rRNA from 1 species